GACGAACUGUCCUAACGUUGUUCGGAAUCACUGGGCUUAAAGGGCGCGUAGGCGGUCCGACAAGUCAGGGGUGAAAUCCUGCAGCUUAACUGCAGAAGUGCCUUUGAUACUGUCGGUCUCGAGGGAGAUAGGGGUGUGCGGAACUUCCAGUGGAGCGGUGAAAUGCGUUGAUAUUGGAAGGAACGCCGGAGGCGAAAGCGGCGCACUGGAUCUCUUCUGACGCUGAGGCGCGAAAGCCAGGGGAGCAAACGGG
rnacentral:rRNA from 1 species